GCCCUCUGGUUACCUUCCUCGUCCUCAUCAACUCCCUCCUCCUCAAGUACUACUGCGUAGCCUCCGGCCGAGCCCCUCUGCUCGACUACCAGCGCCGCGGCUGUGCCACCGGCCUGAGCCCGAGGGCAACGGCGACGGCCGCGGUGAUCUCGCCGGUGGGCGGCGGCCUGGUCCACGACCACGUGACAUCAGCCGUCGCCCUAGGUGGUUGCCCGCGGCCUCCUCCGCUUCUUCGAGGAGCUCGGCAAGCGCAGCGCCUGCGAGCAGGUCAGUCAGCGCCCUUCGUCCCCUCCACUGUCCCCAAGUGUACCGUACCCAGUCUCCACGGUCACGCGCUCAUCCUGCUCGCAAGAGCAGCAAACCUGUACGUAUAUCACAAAGGGAAAAUUUGGGGCCAAGGUCAAGAAGGAGACGGUUUUCUUUUGUUGCCCAGUCCAGUACAACCAGCAAAAAGCUAGAUGUCUCGAGAUAGGAAUUGGAUGGUACCAAUCAUUAUUCUUGCCCAAGUCUAGGGGGAGAAGAUUGAUUCUGGCUGGUACCAUCACAUCUGAGGUGUCAAGUUCUAUAGGAGGAUCUUCUAUUGCAUCAAGAGAAGACGCCAUCUUGGCACACUGGAAACUACGCAGCAAGCAUCUGGUUGUUACUAAUUUGACUGAUGUGGUGGUGUAAUAAUUCAAGUCGUGCAUGACGGUCUGCUAAUUUCCUUGAUGCUUCAUCAGGUUUUGGAAGAAUUGGGCUAAGGGGUGAUUGCGCUCAGGUUUUGAUGCAGGUUCUUUUGAAAUCUGAAACUUUGGUUUGGUAUGAUAGACAAUGCUAUUAAUAUUUGAACAGACAAUAUAGUUAGGUUUGGUUUGGUUUGAACAGACAAUGCUAUUAAACUUUGGUUUGGUUUGGUAUGAUCAUGGGGCCGGCGGCUAAAGCACUUAGGCAUGGUGGCGGAGGCGAUGUACAUGGGCGUGUCUGCUAAGCAGGCCACUGCGUGGGUGGCGAAGUGAUGCGGUGAGGUUAGCAUCUGUAGGAACCCCUGCUGGUCGAGACCCCAGUGUGCGGAGGAGACUCCGGUUUUCUAGGGUAUGUUUUGGGCUGUUUCUUUGUUGAUAUCUUCCCUCCUGGGCUUUGAUUUGGUUCCCAUAAUGGAUAAUUCUAAAUGCGCGGAUGAUUACAGAGGGUUCACGGGCCUAUCUACACUAAUUAUCUCUGCCCCCUGAUUUUCAGGGGGUGUGGCCCGUCGCCCUCUCUAAUCUCCAAUCAAACACUGCGAGCUAGCACCAUUCCGUAAAGUUUGCUAGACAGCUGCAGGCUUGCACCAUCUAAAGAGGAGGAUCUCAGAUGUAGAUACGACGGAGCAAAUUUUGUUUUGUGGUUGCAGCAUAGCCUCGGUUGACGAAGCACUACAUGGCUUUGAUCACUCGAAACACCCAAAUACAAUAUGAUGGUUCGUCCUUGCAAUAUGGAGCUACCCACUCCAAAUUCAGUAAGUUGGAAGCACUGACACGCCCUCGCUAGAGCUGCUCUGUUUGAAUCUGCCCAGAUCUUCGUGAGAACGAUUCUAAAAACAAUGGCGGCGCACCGUGAUUUGCCUCCUCCUAGCUACUGUAAGGUAGAUGGAGAUGGGCAUGUCCUUGCUGGGGUAGAAAUUGAAGUUCCUGGGAGCGAUGUCUUGCCAAUGCCGCAGAUAAAAAAAAUUGGGCCUCUACGAGCCACACCCGCCUCGUGACCUAGCACUGUUGUACCCGAGCCUUUUAGCGUCAGUGUCUUCUGUUUAGUUGUGAGAGGUGCUCUUAUUGCCUUAUCCAUGUUUAGUGGUCACGUACUGCCCACGUUUAUUUACUUGCUUCAUGAUGGUAGUUCGAAUAAUCUCUGUGUCUUUAGCCUAUUUGGUUUUAUGUUUUUUAGUUCUCGCUUACCUAUGACGAUCGUAGGUGUUGUGGAUUUACCAAAGAUUGUCUAUCUUAGGUGUUCUGUAUGAUGUUUCUUUCUAUGACGCUUUACCUAUUCUUUCUUAA